AGGCUCCGCAGAGCAGAAUACAAAAUGUACCCUAGUACAAUUUAUGUGACAGUACUGUAUCUCUUACUAGUUUAAAUAUGAAAUCCUUGCUCGAAUCCCACUGAAAAAGGAACCAUUCUGGAGUAGUCAUGACAAAUAUCGGCAGCAGUUCAUUUUAAGGGAUCACGUAAUUACAUUGUAGCACAGGAGCAGUCUCCCUUUUGGAAGCAUCAUGUCAAGAUCUGCCCAUCUGCACAACACACUCAAAAUAAGGACAACCUACAACGUGCCCAUCGUAGCUGUCUUGGUGGCUAGUGUCAGAUGAUCCUGCAGGUGAAGAAGCCGGAUGUGGAGGUCCUGGGCUGGCGUGGUUACAUGUGGUGAGGCCGGGUGGAUGUACUGCCAAAUUCUCUAAAAUUAUGUUGGAGGCUGCUUAAGAUUGCCAUAAGGUCUCAGACUCCAGGAUGGGAACAUGCUUACAAGAAAGAAACAGAGUUGUCCGAGACAGAGUUGGCAAUUUCCAUUGUUACUUGUAAUGUCAAAAAGGGAAGAAAAAGACAAUCCCAUUUUUCUAAAUUAGCUAUCUAAGCUACUUACCAUACUAUAGGCAAAAUAUUUGAGACAUCACUAGAAUAGUUAUUUUUAUGUUAUUGAGAAAGGCUAUGUAUCUUUGAUUAAUCCAAUUAAUCUAACAAUAACAUUUUGCAAUGUAAGUUGACUAAAAUAGAAACUCGUCUUUUAUUUGUAAGUAUUUUUACUUGUUAAUGAGUAAUAAGUAAUAAUAUAGAAAUUGCUCAAAGGUAACUAUAAAGUUACACUUCACUUUAACACUUUAAAUAGAAAAAUCUUGUGUAACAACUAGCGACAACCAUGUACUUUUGGGGGGGGGGGGUGAACAAUUUAUAUGUUCUAUAAAUUAAGACAGGAGACGUGCCAGACACAUGGAACCAGCCCUAUGAACUAUGCCUGCCUAUGUAACGUGUCUGUAACCAGUAUAUAAGGGAACUAAACGGGACUGCCCCGUUAGAGCUCCUGACAGACGUGUACAUAUGGUGCAUUGAGUUGGUUGGAACCUCUCCAGCGCGCUGAUAAUAAACAAUGAUUAAUU